rnacentral:rRNA from 1 species
GACAGAGGGUGCAAACGUUGCUCGGAUUUACUGGGCGUAAAGCGCAUGUAGGCGGGCGAUUAAGUCGGGUGUGAAAUCCCUGGGCUCAACCUAGGAACUGCAUCCGAAACUGAUCACCUUGAGUAGUGGAGAGGAAAGCGGAAUUCCGGGUGUAGAGGUGAAAUUCGUAGAUAUCCGGAGGAACACCAGUGGCGAAGGCGGCUUUCUGGACGAUUGUUGACGCUGAGGUGCGAAAGCGUGGGGAGCAAACAGG